rnacentral:tRNA from 1 species
GCAUUGGUGGUUCAGUGGUAGAAUUUUUGCCUCCCACGCGGGAAACCUGGGUUCCAUUCUGGGCCCAUGCA